rnacentral:rRNA from 1 species
UGAACGCUAGCGGCAGGCUUAACACAUGCAAGUCGAGGGGUAAGGCUCUUUCGGGAGUACACGACCGGCGCACGGGUGAGUAACGCGUAUGCAACCUACCUUUAACUGGGGAAUAGCCCGAAGAAAUUCGGAUUAAUACCGCAUAAUAUCAAGUUUUCGCAUGAUUAUUUGAUAAAAACUCCGGUGGUUAGAGAUGGGCAUGCGUGACAUUAGAUUGUUGGUGAGGUAACGGCUCACCAAGUCUACGAUGUCUAGGGGGUCUGAGAGGAUGGUCCCCCACACUGGUACUGAGACACGGACCAGACUCCUACGGGAGGCAGCAGUGAGGAAUAUUGGGCAAUGGACGCAAGUCUGACCCAGCCAUGCCGCGUGCAGGAUGACUGCCCUAUGGGUUGUAAACUGCUUUUAUACGGGAAGAACUCCCUCAACGUGUUGAGGGCUGACGGUACCGUAAGAAUAAGCAUCGGCUAACUCC